UGACACACUUAUGGCUCACACUGCUGGUUGUUAUUGCAUUGCAAUUGACCCACUUGGAAGAUAUUUUGCUGUUGGAAGUGCUGAUUCCUUAGUCAGCCUUUGGGAUAUUAAGGAAAUGCUCUGUGUUCGAACAUUUACAAAA